CACAGAAAUGAAGUGAACGUCCCCUACCAGAGCCAUUUACCCACCCCACCUUUUUCCUGACCCACUAGGCAAGCUCCUCAGCCUCCCUGGGACGGCAGGAAGUGUGGUCUGCUAAUCCCAGUCCUGUGCAGCGCUGACCCAGGAGGGCUGAAUAAAAUCCCAGUGUGUGGAGACAAGGCAUCUUCUUUGUCCGUUCAUCUGUUGACAGACUCCUAGGCUGACCUACAGCUUGACAAUCGUGAAUUGUGCUGCAAUAAACCUGGGUAUG